UACGUAGGGUGCGAGCGUUAAUCGGAAUUACUGGGCGUAAAGCGUGCGCAGGCGGUUUUGUAAGCCAGAUGUGAAAUCCCCGGGCUCAACCUGGGAAUGGCAUUUGGGACUGCAAGGCUCGAGUGCGGCAGAGGAGACUGGAAUUCCUGGUGUAGCAGUGAAAUGCGUAGAUAUCAGGAGGAACACCGAUGGCGAAGGCAGGUCUCUGGGCUGACACUGACGCUCAUGCACGAAAGCUAGGGGAGCAAACAGG
rnacentral:rRNA from 1 species